rnacentral:rRNA from 1 species
AACGAACGCUGGCGGCAUGCCUAACACAUGCAAGUCGAACGAGACCUUCGGGUCUAGUGGCGCACGGGUGCGUAACGCGUGGGAACCUGCCCUUAGGUUCGGAAUAACUCCCCGAAAGGGGUGCUAAUACCGGAUAAUGUCUUCGGACCAAAGAUUUAUCGCCUUUGGAUGGGCCCGCGUUGGAUUAGCUAGUUGGUAGGGUAAAAGCCUACCAAGGCGACGAUCCAUAGCUGGUCUGAGAGGAUGAUCAGCCACACUGGGACUGAGACACGGCCCAGACGCGGAGGGGAGCACGGGGGGGAGGAAGGGGACCGGGGGACACAAGUGUGACAAGGCGAGGGGGUGGGAGGGAGGGAGGCAUGAGGGUGGUAAAGCUCUGUAGCGCGGGAAGAUAUGAACAGUAGGGGGAGAAGAAGCGCCGGCUACCUCCGUGCGAGAAGCCGGGGUAAUACUAGGACGAGAACGCGCCUGAAC